AGCGUUUUGAAUCCGUGCUGAGAUUUCGUCAGACACCAACCCAUUAGGUUUGAUCAGAUUUCCAAGAUAAGUGAAGUU
rfam:Schistosoma mansoni strain Puerto Rico chromosome W, complete genome